GAAUGACAAGCUGCGGAGUUCCAUCUUAGAUGAUUGGCUUUCUUCUAAGAUACAAGUUGUUGUGGCCACAGUGGCUUUUGUGAUGGGUAUUGACAGAAAGGAUGUGAGGAUUGUUUGCCACUUUAACAUUCCAAAAUCAAUGGAAGCAUUUUAUCAAGAAUCAGGAAUUUAUUCUAAGCAAGGCUAAGGAUAAGAAGCCACAAAGCUCCAGUUCACAGGAUGGGUUGCUCAAAAAGUUACUAGCUGACUUCAAUCAGAUGGUUGAAUAUUGUGAAGGAUCUGGGUGUCGGCGCAGAAAGAUUCUUGAGAGUUUUGGUGAACAGGUUUUGGUACCUGCAUCCCUCUGUAAAA